UUUCUUUUUUUCCUCCAAGUCCCUCCCAAAAAUUUCUCGCUCAUCAAACUCACUUCCAAUCCGAGUUUACUCGUUCAUUUCUGUCUUUGAAAACUGAUUUUAUUCCUGAUUAGAAAAUGGACCUUGAGGCAAGAAGCUUGCAGCAAAGCUUGAAGGCUACACUACUUGCUAAGCUCAGGGAAUAUAAAUCUGAUCUGAAUAAGAUGAAAAGGGAAUUGAAAAAAAUAACUUUGCCUAAGUCAAACGUUCUGGCCAUGAAGAGUUGUUAGAAUCUGGAAUGGCUGGUGCAAAUUCGGUAUGCGUGCAUUCAAUUUCCCUGUUGAUUUUUUUUGUCCUUAAUAUAUAAGGUAUGUAUAUAUUGCAUGGAGAACUGCAAUUAGCUUUGACGAUGUAGCAUCAUCUAGCCUCACUGGAGAUAAUUCAUCUGUGUCUGGUUGCAUGAUGAGUGGAUGCUUAUAUUUUACUAUUAAUAGAGCCGUGUAAAAAUUCUCCUUG